rnacentral:rRNA from 1 species
UGGGGAAUUUUGGACAAUGGGCGCAAGCCUGAUCCAGCCAUACCGCGUGAGUGAAGAAGGCCUUCGGGUUGUAAAGCUCUUUCAGACGGAAAGAAACGGUCGCGGCCAAUACCCGCGACUAAUGACGGUACCGUAAGAAGAAGCACCGGCUAACUACGUGCCAGCAGCCGCGGUAAUACGUAGGGUGCGAGCGUUGUUCGGAUUUACUGGGCGUAAAGGGCGCGUAGGCGGCGCGGUAAGUCACUUGUGAAAUCUCUGAGCUUAACUCAGAACGGCCAAGUGAUACUGCAGUGCUAGAGUGCAGAAGGGGCAAUCGGAAUUCUUGGUGUAGCGGUGAAAUGCGUAGAUAUCAAGAGGAACACCUGAGGUGAAGACGGGUUGCUGGGCUGACACUGACGCUGAGGCGCGAAAGCUAGGGGAGCAAACGGGAUUAGAUACCCCUGUAGUCCCUGAGCGGGCUGGCAAGGCGCAU